UGAAUGAGCCCCUGCACAGGGUCCUGUGGUACUUCACCAUCCCAGGAGCUGCCUGCUAGAUUGGGUGUACAGAGACGUGAGGUUUCCUGACAGCAUCCCUCCCCAUGCAGCAGCCAUUGAAAGCAGCAGCUGGAGAAGGAGGGUGAGGAAGAGCCUGGCCUUGCAGCUGGGAGGCCCCUGAGCACAGGAUCAGAACCACAGCGAACAAGCAGUUCUCCUCUUAUCUGAUGUAGCCUGGAGAGCAGACAGAUAGGACUGCAGCAAUCAG
rnacentral:lncRNA from 12 species